rnacentral:rRNA from 2 species
AAGUCUGAUGGAGCACGCCGCGUGAGUGAAGAAGGGUUUCGGCUCGUAAAACUCUGUUGUUAGAGAAGAACAGCCGUGAGAGCAACUGCUCACGGUAUGACGGUAUCUAACCAGAAAGUCACGGCUAACUACGUGCCAGCAGCCGCGGUAAUACGUAGGUGGCAAACGUUGUCCGGAUUUAUUGGGCGUAAAGGGAGCGCAGGCGGUUUAUUAAGUCUGAUGUGAAAGCCUUCGGCUUAACCGGAGAAGUGCAUCGGAAACUGAUAAACUUGAGUGCAGAAAAGGAUAGUGGAACUUCAUGUGUAGCGGUGAAAUGCGUAGAUAUAUGAAGGAACACCAGUGGCGAAGGCGGCUAUCUGGUCUGUAACUGACGCUGAGGCUCGAAAGCAUGGGUAGCAAACAGGAUUAGAUACCCUGGUAGUCCAUGCCGUAAACGAUGAAUGCUAGGUGUUGGAAGGUUUCCGCCUUUCAGUGCCGCAGCUAACGCAUUAAGCAUUCCGCCUGGGGAGUACGACCGCAAGGUUGAAACUCAAAGGAAUUGACGGGGACCCGCACAAGCGGUGGAGCAUGUGGUUUAAUUCGAUGCUACGCGAAGAACCUUACCAGGACUUGACAUCUUCUGCCAAUCUAAGAGAUUAGACGUUCCCUUCGGGGACAGAAUGACAGGUGGUGCAUGGUUGUCGUCAGCUCGUGUCGUGAGAUGUUGGGUUAAGUCCCGCAACGAGCGCAACCCUUGUCUUUAGUUGCCAGCAUUAAGUUGGGCACUCUAGAGAGACUGCCGGUGAUAAACCGGAGGAAGGUGGGGAUGACGUCAAAUCAUCAUGCCCCUUAUGUCCUGGGCUACACACGUGCUACAAUGGGCGAUACAACGAGUUGCGAAACCGCGAGGUCAAGCUAAUCUCUUAAAGUCGUUCUCAGUUCGGAUUGCAGUCUGCACUCGACUGCAUGAAGUUGGAAUCGCUAGUAAUCGUGGAUCAGCAUGCCACGGUGA